CUGGUCUGGAAAAAACGCCACAGCUGCCUCCAUGCUGGGUGCUGGGCUCUGCCCCAGAUCGGCUGCCUCAGUGCCCACUCGCUCCAGAAUAAAGUCCAUACCGGUCCUGCUGGCUUCCUUCAUCAGCUUCCUUCCCUCAGCCCCGGCCUGCAUCAUAACUUCAAGGUUGAGCCAUCCAUGAGGUUCCUGCCUUUCCACCCACACUGACACCCAGGGGGCUGCUUCUCUGGGGAGGAAAAGGAAAAUACCAAGGAGAGUGACCAAGGCCACGAAGGGAAGAGGCCACUGAGGUCUGCUUGCUGUGGAAGUAGCCAGCUCCCUUAAGCCUCCACCCCCAGAAACCUCUUGGCCUUCAACCCAAGAAAACCUGCUUCUGACACUCAUGAACAGAAGACGGUCUAAAUUCCUUCACCGAGCACCUCACUGCUUGGUGAGUCCUUCUCUCCCCUCCCAACUUUUCU